UACGUAGGGUGCGAGCGUUGUCCGGAUUUAUUGGGCGUAAAGAGCUUGUAGGCGGCUCGUCACGUCGGGUGUGGAAACUUGCGGCUUAACCGCAAGCCUGCACCCGAUACGGGCGGGCUAGAGUUCGGCAGGGGAGACUGGAAUUCCUGGUGUAGCGGUGGAAUGCGCAGAUAUCAGGAGGAACACCGGUGGCGAAGGCGGGUCUCUGGGCCGAUACUGACGCUGAUGCACGAAAGCUAGGGGAGCAAACAGG
rnacentral:rRNA from 1 species